AAUAGAUACCCUGGUAGUCCACGCCCUAAACGUUGCGAACUAGGUGUUGGUGGGAUUGACCCCAUCAGUGCCGCAGCUAACGCAUUAAGUAGACCGCCUGGGGAGUACGGUCGCAAGAUUAAAACUCAAAGGAAUUGACGGGGACCCGCACAAGCGGUGGAUGAUGUGGAUUAAUUCGAUGCAACGCGAAAAACCUUACCUACCCUUGACAUGGCAGGAACCUUGGAGAGAUCUGAGGGUGCUCGAAAGAGAACCUGCACACAGGUGCUGCAUGGCUGUCGUCAGCUCGUGUCGUGAGAUGUUGGGUUAAGUCCCGCAACGAGCGCAACCCUUGUCAUUAGUUGCUACGAAAGGGCACUCUAAUGAGACUGCCGGUGACAAACCGGAGGAAGGUGGGGAUGACGUCAAGUCCUCAUGGCCCUUAUGGGUAGGGCUUCACACGUCAUACAAUGGUACAUACAGAGGGCCGCCAACCCGGCGAGGGGAGCAAAUCCCAGAAAGUGUAUCGUAGUCCGGAUUGUAGU
rnacentral:rRNA from 1 species